rnacentral:rRNA from 1 species
UACGUAGGGGGCAAGCGUUGUCCGGAUUUAUUGGGCGUAAAGAGCUCGUAGGCGGUCUGUCGCGUCGGAUGUGAAAACCCAGGGCUCAACCCUGGGCCUGCAUUCGAUACGGGCAGACUAGAGUACGGCAGGGGAGACUGGAAUUCCUGGUGUAGCGGUGAAAUGCGCAGAUAUCAGGAAGAACACCCGUGGCUAAGGCGGCUCUCUAGUACGGUACUGACGCUGAGACGCGAAAGCGUGGGGAGCGAACAGG